GGAACAGUAGCAAAGCAGGUCAAUGCGGUGGACUAAAAAUCCAAAUAUACAGGUUCGAGCCCUGUCUGUUUCA
rnacentral:tRNA from 1 species